CCUGCCGAGGAGCGCUGCGACCCUGCAAUGGGGCCAGGCUCGGCAAUGAUCAACGGCGCUCGCAAACC
rnacentral:ncRNA from 1 species